ensembl:lncRNA
CGCACCCUUCCGCCCUCCCGGAAUCCCCGAGUCGUGCCUCUCCGGGUAGCGCCUUACUGCUGGGUCUGAAGAGGGUGUCUGUGCAGCUGGUCGACUGCAGGAAAACAACGGGGCUGAAUGGAACUACGAGACGAGGAGACAAAGAGGAAGAUUUGACUGAUCAAAGUAAAAGACUGCUGGGUAUGAAGAGGGUGUCUGUGCGGCUGGUCGACUGCAGGAAAACAACGGGACUGAGUGGAACUAUGAGACGAGGAGGAGGAGAAGAAGAAGAUAAUGAGUGAGAUUUGACUGAUCAAAAUAAGUAGGAGGGUUAUGUAGGAGCAGAAUGUGUUUACUUUGGACUUCAACCUACACAUUAAUAAUAUGAAGAAGCAGCUGCUAUCCUAGGAGCAUGAACAACGACUCAUCUCCUGGUGGCACAAAACAUUUAAAAUAAAAUGUUUUUAUAAUAAAUAUUCUGCACUAGCAUUUAAACAAAAUACAAAUAUUCUGACAAGUGAUUAGGAAGUGGAAUCUGGUCAAGUGGUGAGAAUCCUCAUUCAACAUAAACGUGAUUAGGAAGUGGAAUCUGGUCCAACAGGUCUUACAGGAAGUACAGGUCGUAAAAACAUUGUCUUGAGGCACCAUGACACGUCAAGACACAAGAAAACUAUAUUUAGGGAAGUGUCUUCAAGACAUUUUCUAGGCCAACUUUUCUGGACCUCACUUCCCGACAGCUCAGUCUCUGCUCUACUCAUUUGGCUAAUUAGAGAACAGGCUACUCUGGGGGGGGAAAAAAGUUAAAUCAAAGCUCAAUCAUUGUCCUCAAGAUUACAUAAUGAUAGGAUUCUACAUAACAGAACCGAAUAUAAACAGAACACAGUGUGUGUGUGUACGAGAUUCUCUACUUCACACACAUCUGUAACGGAUGUGAAACGGCUAGCUAGUUAGCGGUGGUGCGCGCUAAAUAGCGUUUCAAUCGGUGACGUCACUUGCUCUGAGACCUUGAAGUAGUAGUUCCCCUUGCUCUGCAAGUUCCGUAGCAAUGCUUUUGUGGAGCAAUGGGUAACGAUGCUUCGAGGGUGACUGUUGUUGAUGUGUGCAGAGGGUCCCUGGUUCGCGCCCGGGUAUGGGUGAGGGAAGGGGACGGUCUAAAGUUAUACUGUUACACAUCCACAUGUGCAGUAGCUUCAGGACAUUUAGCUGUCAGGAAGAGGGGUCCGGAACAGUCGGAUCUGUAGCCUCUCCGUUGUUUAUAUAUUAGUGGUUUGAGAGAGAGGCCAUAAAAUGUUUUCAGACACAUUUGGAAGGCAUGUCUUGAUACAUAAUGGCAUCUUAAAGAUGUAUUUUUUUUUAAAGUAUCUAUGUCUUGAAGCGUCUCAAGAUUUCUCAACUUGUGAUGGCUGGGUACGUAGGUUUAUAAACGAUCAGAAACAUAUUUUCUCAGUCUUCACUUUGGGCUUCCAUAGUCCGUUUGUGAUGGCUGGGUACGUAGGUUUAUAAGCGAUCAGAAACAUAUUUUCUCAGUCUUCACUUUGGGCUUCCAUAGUCCGAUUGUGAGA